CUGUCCCCUUUCUCCGACUCGUUGGUUGGAAUGUUUGAGUCUGACGUGGAUCAGGAAGCGACUGCUCAGAGAUUGGAGUGUGGGAAGACGGUUGCGUCUAGACCCAAGUUGCUAAUGCAGGAUGGCGCGAGUGAAUGGGAGAUCCCAGAACCUGAGGGAAAAAUUGGACGGAAAUGAGCUGGACCUGAGUCUGAGUGAUUUGAGUGAAGUGCCUGUUCGGGAUCUGGUGGCCAUUCCCAAGGCCAUUCCCAAGGCAACAGCUCUGGACCUUUCCUGUAACAAGCUGACUACCUUACCGGUGAGAUUCUGAACGGAGUUUAAAGGAAAACUAUACCCCCUGAACAAUAGGGUCUCUCUGAUUGUUCUGUAACUAUGACUUCCAGCAUCUCGUCCUACUCACAGCAGCAUAUGAUGCUCACUUGAGGCACAACAGAGGGUUAAAGGGUUAAAGAGGAGCAGGAGAGGGUGAUGAGAAGGAGGAUGAAGCAACAGCAGAAGGAACUCAAGAGAAGAGAUUACAACGCUAUGCAGAA